UUAUUAAAUUUUUAAUCAUCCCUCGCUACAUAUAGGAUGUCAACGCGGUGGAUGUGGGUUAAGUUUCAAUGCCCAACUGAGCGUGUUGCGUGAAUUUGUUUAAAACAUUAAUAAGCUCGAUAAGCUAUGUCAACGUUUUAAAGAUAAGACCUGCCACAGUUAGCGAUAAAGGUUCAUGUUUAAAACAGCUUGUGACAGGAAGGAAAACGGAUUAUUGAUACAGAUAUCAAGACUCUGUUUUGCCUGAGUGAUAUUUUGGAAGUGUAAUGUUGGAUUUUAAAGGUUUCUCCACUCACCAUCGUUCGACAACGGCCCCGGUUAUAUGGCGGACGUAAUGUUGCCUAGCAACGAAACAGCCGGAAUCUUUGGCGGCUCUGACCCGGAAGCAAUAUUCGACUUCAUCACCAUUCGAUCCAUGCAUGAACGCUAUGGAAAUAUUGAAACUCCACGCGGAAAAAUCGGCCGCCAUGACAGGACCACUUAUGAAAACGAGGCUAUCUACCAAAACGAGGCGGAAUUCGAAACUUUUGUUCAGCAGUUCCCCAUCGAUGACUCGAUAGCAGAAUGUUUUGCCACAACGGACGGAGACGCGGAUAAACUAGAUAACA